CAGUAGGUGGACUUAACACUACGAUUACUAUGAGGCAUCAGUGUAUUACAGCUAUGAAAGAAUAUGAGAAGAAGUCUCUGGAGGAACUCCGUUUAGAAGACUACCAGGCAAACAGGAAAGGGCCUGUAACGAAAACAACAGGAGCAGAUGUGGGCUUGUUUGGACCUUCUGCUACAAGAUCAGCUACAGGGCUUUUUGGCACUUCUACAGCUACCAAAGGCUUUCCACAUGGACAGAGUAAAGCAGCUUUUGGAACCAGUAAAGCAGGCUUUGGAUCAGGAACCACAGGGACUCCUUUCCACCAGCACUCUCAAACUACAAGCCUCUUAAGCAAAC